rnacentral:rRNA from 1 species
UACGAAGGUGGCAAGCGUUGUUCGGAUUUACUGGGCGUACAGGGAGCGUAGGCGGUUGGAUAAGCCCUCCGUGAAAUCUCCAGGCUUAACCUGGAAAGUGCAGAGGGGACUGUUCAGCUAGAGGAUGGGAGAGGAGCGCGGAAUUCCCGGUGUAGCGGUGAAAUGCGUAGAGAUCGGGAGGAAGGCCGGUGGCGAAGGCGGCGCUCUGGAACAUUUCUGACGCUGAGGCUCGAAAGCGUGGGGAGCAAACAGGA